rnacentral:rRNA from 1 species
UACGGGGGGAGCAAGCGUUGUUCGGAUUUACUGGGCGUAAAGGGCGCGUAGGCGGUCAGCACAAGUCAGUUGUGAAAUCUCCGGGCUUAACUCGGAAAGGUCAACUGAUACUGUGCGACUAGAGCGCAGAAGGGGCAACUGGAAUUCUUGGUGUAGCGGUGAAAUGCGUAGAUAUCAAGAGGAACACCUGCGGCGAAGGCGGGUUGCUGGGCUGACACUGACGCUGAAGCGCGAAAGCCAGGGGAGCGAACGGGG